rnacentral:rRNA from 1 species
AGAGUUUGAUCCUGGCUCAGGAUAAACGCUGGCGGCGCACAUAAGACAUGCAAGUCGAACGGACAGAAGCUAAUUCUUUAAGAUUUAGUGGAUGUUAGUGGCGGACUGGUGAGUAACGCGUAAGGAACCUACCUUUUAGAGGGGAACAACAAUGAGAAAUCAUUGCUAAUACCGCAUAUGCCAUAGUCAUCACAUGAUGGUAGUGGGAAAGGAGUAAUCCGCUAGAAGAUGGCCUUGCGUCUGAUUAGAUAGUUGGUGGGGUAAAGGCCUACCAAGUCGACGAUCAGUAGCCGGACUGAGAGGUUGAACGGCCACAUUGGGACUGAGAUACGGCCCAGACUCCUACGGGAGGCAGCAGUCGGGAAUAUUGCGCAAUGGAGGGAACUCUGACGCAGUGACGCCGCGUAUAGGAAGAAGGUUUUCGGAUUGUAAACUAUUGUCGUUAGGGAAGAGAAAGGACGGUACCUAAGGAGGAAGCUCCGGCUAACUACGUGCCAGCAGCCGCGGUAAUACGUAGGGAGCGAGCGUUAUCCGGAAUUAUUGGGUGUAAAGGGUGCGUAGACGGGAAUACAAGUUAGUUGUGAAAUCCCUCGGCUCAACUGAGGAACUGCAACUAAAACUAUAUUUCUUGAGUGCAGGAGAGGUAAGUGGAAUUCCUAGUGUAGCGGUGAAAUGCGUAGAUAUUAGGAGGAACACCAGUGGCGAAGGCGACUUACUGGACUGUAACUGACGUUGAGGCACGAAAGUGUGGGGAGCAAACAGGAUUAGAUACCCUGGUAGUCCACACCGUAAACGAUGGA